CCUACGGGGGUCAGCAGUAGGGCAUAUUGCUCAAUGGGGGAAACCCUGAAGCAGCAACGCCGCGUGGAGGAUGAAGGUUUUCGGAUUGUAAACUCCUUUUGUUAGAGAAGAUAAUGACGGUAUAUAAAGAAUAAGCACCGGCUAACUCCGUGCCAGCAGCCGCGGUAAUACGGAGGGUGCAAGCGUUACUCGGAAUCACUGGGCGUAAAGAGCGCGUAGGCGGGAUAGCAAGUCAGAUGUGAAAUCCUAUGGCGUAAACAUAGAACUGCAUUUGAAACUGUUAUUCUAGAGUAUGGGAGAGGUAGGUGGAAUUCGUGGUGUAGGGGUAAAAUCCGUAGAGAUCAAGAGGAAUACUCAUUGCGAAGGCGACCUGCUAGAACAUAACUGACGCUGAUGCGCGAAAGCGUGGGGAGCAAACAGGAUUAGAUACCCGUGUAGUC
rnacentral:rRNA from 1 species